CGAUGGACAUUGCAAAGAGUGGCGAACGGGUGAGUAACACGUGGGAAACCUACCUCUUAGCAGGGGAUAACAUUUGGAAACAGAUGCUAAUACCGUAUAACAAUAGCAACCGCAUGGUUGCUACUUAAAAGAUGGUUCUGCUAUCACUAAGAGAUGGUCCCGCGGUGCAUUAGUUAGUUGGUGAGGUAAUGGCUCACCAAGACGAUGAUGCAUAGCCGAGUUGAGAGACUGAUCGGCCACAAUGGGACUGAGACACGGCCCAUACUCCUACGGGAGGCAGCAGUAGGGAAUCUUCCACAAUGGGCGAAAGCCUGAUGGAGCAACGCCGCGUGUGUGAUGAAGGGUUUCGGCUCGUAAAACACUGUUGUAAGAGAAGAAUGACAUUGAGAGUAACUGUUCAAUGUGUGACGGUAUCUUACCAGAAAGGAACGGCUAAAUACGUGCCAGCAGCCGCGGUAAUACGUAUGUUCCAAGCGUUAUCCGGAUUUAUUGGGCGUAAAGCGAGCGCAGACGGUUAUUUAAGUCUGAAGUGAAAGCCCUCAGCUCAACUGAGGAAUUGCUUUGGAAACUGGAUGACUUGAGUGCAGUAGAGGAAAGUGGAACUCCAUGUGUAGCGGUGAAAUGCGUAGAUAUAUGGAAGAACACCAGUGGCGAAGGCGGCUUUCUGGACUGUAACUGACGUUGAGGCUCGAAAGUGUGGGUAGCAAACAGGAUUAGAUACCCUGGUAGUCCACACCGUAA
rnacentral:rRNA from 1 species